GACGGGGCGGCCGCCCGCUCCCGCUCCCACUUCCGCGCCCGCGCCCGCAGAGGCGCGGCUCCGCCGUCGGAUGCGGCGCUGCCCGGGAAAGGCGUCUUGAGCUAAUGCCCCAGAUUUCCCCGCUAAUUAGAUUUCGAGAACAGGACACCAAAGUCGCUUGCUCCCACCCUAAGGUUACCCUGGAGGUUGGGUGUAAUUGAAAAUACCUCCAAUCCUGUACUUGAGGGAAAAAACGGACAAUUCAGUAGAAGACACAUGUGUCCGAAUAGACUCUCACAAGCUGAGGACCAUCUUUUCAAACAGCAUUUCCAGCCACGUUGAAAUGUACCUUGGGGUAUUUUGCUCAAAAACAGAGCUGGCGUCAUGUUUAAGCAUAAGCCCAGGUUGCCUAUCACCCGCUGGCUGAUAAACUCUUAAUUCCCCUCCCUGCCUGGUUGGCUUCUGAGCCACAGAUGCGCUGGGCCGAGGUCAGAGCCAGCGCUGAGCCG
rnacentral:lncRNA from 1 species